GAUGAACGCUGGCGGCGUGCCUAAUACAUGCAAGUCGAGCGAACAGACGAGGAGCUUGCUCCUCUGACGUUAGCGGCGGACGGGUGAGUAACACGUGGAUAACCUACCUAUAAGACUGGGAUAACUUCGGGAAACCGGAGCUAAUACCGGAUAAUAUAUUGAACCGCAUGGUUCAAUAGUGAAAGACGGUUUUGCUGUCACUUAUAGAUGGAUCCGCGCCGCAUUAGCUAGUUGGUAGGGUAACGGCUUACCAAGGCAACGAUGCGUAGCCGACCUGAGAGGGUGAUCGGCCACACUGGAACUGAGACACGGUCCAGACUCCUACGGGAGGCAGUAGUAGGGAAUCUUCCGCAAUGGGCGAAAGCCUGACGGAGCAACGCCGCGUGAGUGAUGAAGGUCUUCGGAUCGUAAAACUCUGUUAUUAGGGAAGAACAAAUGUGUAAGUAACUAUGCACGUCUUGACGGUACCUAAUCAGAAAGCCACGGCUAACUACGUG
rnacentral:rRNA from 1 species